rnacentral:lncRNA from 1 species
GCAGCAUUGGCUUAUAUGGCCAUCUGGUCACAGUGUAAUCUGCCUCCCACUGGUUAAAAGAACCUUAACAUUUACACCCACACUGAUUCAGUUUGCACUAGCUUUGCCUUCCUGCUAAACAAAUGCAUUCUUAAGGUGCUUGGAACUUCCUGCUUUUAAUAAUUGGAGGAAAGUCUUCCAAUGAUAACUCAAAAGGCUCCAGGUACAAUCAUGAAAUCAUAUAGACUUUUCCAUUUUUUUAAAAUUUAUUCACUUAUUUAUCUUUAAACAUCUUGGUGAGGGAUUAGGGAAGGUUGAGAUUAGGUGCAAUGCCAAACACUUGAAACUCCAAUAGAAAAAGAGGAUCAUGUCACUUAAUGCCUGGAGAGAGUUCUGGACAUUUUCAUGGUUUUAUCAACAUCAGAUAUGUUGAUGCAGAUGGUGAUGCUUACUGCAUUACUGGGUGUACAAUGCAAUCUUAUGGGGCCACCAUUUGCAUGCAGCCUAUUGGUGACCAAAUUGUAGCCAAGUUGCACAUGACAGCAUUUCUUUUUCUGAUUUUAAGUUGCUUUCUUUGUUUACUUGCAUUAAUGUUAUUUAAAUUUUUCAUAUUUUGGUGAUCAGAUGAAGUCUUUUCCUUUUGAGUCUUUAAAUGUAAAAUUAUCUCUCAAGGACUUUUAUGAUGAAUAGAAGUUUGAAAAGAUGAAUUAAUUCUUUCAAGUAGUAGGGAGAAAAUAAAGUAUCUCAUUACCACGGUAGGAUUCAAAUCACACCAUCAAUUAUUAGAAACCCUUGCUUUUAAGCUAUUUCAGGGACAUUAUGUCUUUAAACAGGAGUUUGCAAGGAUUCAGGAAGCUUUUUCCCUAAGUUAAAUAAUUUGAUAAUUAAAUCCAACCAUCGCCCUUGGUAUGACACAUCUUUAUUUUUGUGAUCUUCUGCACUGCUUCAUUGUCUCUGAAAUGCCACCUCCCAUUCUACUUCCUGAGUAACCCUGAUCUGUGUGCUUCAUUCACAAAGGGAAAGCUUCAUGAAGCAGUUCAUUGACCGCCAGCAACAGGACACCUGCUGUCUCUUCAGAAUCCUCCCCUCUACCUCUUCCUCAUCAUGUGACAACCCCAAGAAGCCCACAGCUGAAGACAACAAAUACAUUGAUCAAAAAGUAAGAACCACUGUCUCCAUCACCAAACCCCUCUAAAGCACAUGUUAGAGAAAAAUGUGGCACAAUUAUUUAGAGUCCUCAAUUCCUAAGUCUGUAGGGAAUAGAGAAGAAAAUAAUAAAUAGAUAGGUGUAUGUGUAUAUAUGUACAUAUUGUUUGUGAUGUAAUUCAUAUUUCUAUUAUGUUAAAAACUCGAAUGCCAACUUGCUCCUGUCCAGGCUCUCCUGACCCUCCUCUACCCCACAGAGCUGAUAUGUAUUGUGUCCUCUGUCUUAGUCAUCUUGCCCUAGGUUAUGUCAAUGAUUAUUGCCUUUGUGCUAUGUCUCUUCAUUUUAAAGAACUUUCCCUCAUUUAUUUUCUCUUCACCAUUCUCAGAUCUCAUUCCUCAUUCUUGUAGAGAACACUCUGUUGCUAAUGUCUUCUCUUUUUUUUUUCAUUCAUUUAUUUUUUGUCAGUUGAAAAUAAUUAGGUUUGUAUCUGGUUGGUUAGAUUUCAUUUUCUUUGGGGAAAGCCUGUGAGAUGUUGUCUGCAUUCUUGGGGCUCAAAAAUUUUAUUAGUAUAUACCUUCUCUGUCCUUUCUCAUCAAAAUUUCACCAACUGGGAAGGGAGAUUUUUCAAAAUAAGACACUUACACAAGGACAUUCCACCUAUGACUUGUUUAAGUGUGGCAUAUCCAUUUUAGGACUGCCUUUCUCCCUGUCAAUUACUGUCUCUACUUUUGUCCUUGGCAUUAAUAUUUUGUUUUCCCCCUACCUGGUUUUUUUUUUUUUUGUGGUCACAAAAUUGACUUUAGAUGAUACCAUAUUUGCUUUCAUUUGUGUAGUGAGAGAUUAUGCCAUAUGUGUGGUACUUUUAACUUCUUUUAGUUGGUUCUUGAUUUUGCUUGCUUGAAAUAAGACCCUAUGGUAUCUAUACUUCCCAGUCAGUACCAUAAACAGGUAAAGAAACAACAGCCCAAGUAGACACAGGAAAAAUGUUUGGAGAAACGGUAACCUAGUCCAGGACAGUCUGCAGUUACAUUUUGCAUUUCUAGAAAGCAGAUUGGUUUUGUCUUAGUGUAUUGAAUUUGUUUCAUUAUGUUUCCAAACUUGACUAUAAGCCAGAGGUGAAGUGGCCUUCUCCUCACCCUGACUAUGCUAGGGUUAUGACUACCUGCAUCCAAGAGAAAGAC